UCUACCCAUCCCCGCCUCUUCUUCAUUCCUCACUCCUUUCUCUUCCUGGAAAAAUCUUUGUUCAUUCUUUGAAAUCCCUUCAAGACAACUUCACAGCCACCCUCCACUCCUAAAACACUCACCUGGAGCCCUGUUUUCUCUUCCCUCACCCUGGAAGCAUGCUCCUCCUUAGUUCCCACGUGCCAUUGGAGCAGGUCCCCGUCCCAGCACACACCUGGUUCCGUGGAAUCACACGGACGUGCCUGUUCUCCACCUCUGCAUGUAUGACUAUGCACAUCGGAGAACAGAACCGGAACGUGUACCUAGAGCGGAGCUGCCACAGCCUCAAGGAUGAUUCUUUUUCUUUUCCACUUAAUAGUACAGAUGGCAAGCUGUGUCUACACUGGCACGUUACCUGAAAUGACAGGAACUUAAAAAAAAAAGUGUGCAGCGAGGCACAGAGAAAUGAGGACAGGGAGAGAAGGCGAGCCCUGGAAAGAAUGAGAAGGACACAGCGAUGCUAAUCACCAAAGGCUGACCUACGAGGGAAGCUUUUCAAGCAAGGGGAGUCGGACUCACAACACGGAAGAAGUGAGGAAGGAUUAUGUGGCCCAGGAACCCAAAAAGAAAUGUCUAUUGUUCAAGUGGGGCCAUCAGAGAUCUGGGAGAGGAAAGAGCCCACCGUGACUCUCAGGAGGCUCCCAUUGGUUGGGGAAGAGAGCAGACACACGACAAAACCUGAAGGAACCAAGGCAAUCAGGAAUGCCCAGAGUCUGGCCCUGCCCGGGAGCAUGGACGCUGGCGGACAUCACAGUGAGCCAGGAGCCACCGUGAGGUUUAAACUCCUUGCGUAAAACCGGAUCCCGUGUAUCUUUGCCUGUCAAGACUCAGCAGUCAUGUCGAAAUAAGUGAGCCAGUGUGAGAAAGUCCCCUUGGCUUCUUGACAGGCACAGGAGCCAAGGAAAUAUGGAAGGACAGUGCAACCUAGUGAUCAGUAUACAGCGGACGCACAACGCUGCUCAGACAAGUUCCAGAGAUUCCACAGGAAUCAAGGAUGGAGCACUAAAGCACUGACUCUUAAACUCUUCUGGGGUGGCACAAAUCAUUUGUUUUCAAGUUUAGUUUGAAGUCACAUUCCCUGGACAUUUGGGGGAACAUAAAGGAUUUACAGCAGGUAUAUGAUUAUGGAAAAAUUUAAGGAAAUCAGUUUCUAGAUAGUCAUCUUCCAUGUAACAGGCUCUUUUAGGAAACCAAUUUGUCUAAAACUCACUUGAAUGCCCAUUAGAUAUUUUAAUUCAAUAUAAGAAAGGCAUUCAUCUCAAUUAUUCCCAGACUUAGUGUGGCCCAGUGUCCUGAGGAAUGUAACCCUUUUAACCAUCAAGCAAAGAGAAA